rnacentral:rRNA from 1 species
CCUUGUACACACCGCCCGUCACACCAUGGGAGUGGGUUGCACCAGAAGUAGCUAGUCUAACCUUCGGGGGGACGGUUACCACGGUGUGAUUCAUGACUGGGGUGAAGUCGUAACAAGGUACCC